rnacentral:rRNA from 1 species
GACGAACGCUGGCGGCGUGCUUAACACAUGCAAGUCGAGCGAGGCCCGCUCUUCGGGGUGGUGCCCUAGCGGCGAACGGGUGAGUAACACGUGGGCAACCUGCCCUCAGCUCUGGGAUAACUCCAAGAAAUUGGUGCUAAUACCGGAUGUGACUGCUGACCGCAUGGUCUGGUGGUGGAAAGAUUUAUCGGCUGAGGAUGGGCCCGCGGCCUAUCAGCUGUUGGUGGGGUGAUGGCCUACCAAGGCGACGACGGGUAGCCGGCCUGAGAGGGUGACCGGCCACACUGGGACUGAGACACGGCCCAGACUCCUACGGGAGGCAGCAGUGGGGAAUAUUGCGCAAUGGGCGGAAGCCUGACGCAGCGACGCCGCGUGGGGGAUGACGGCCU